rnacentral:rRNA from 1 species
UCGAGGAUCAUUCGCAAUGGGCGCAAGCCUGACGAUGCGACGCUGCGUGGAGGAUGAAGGCCUUCGGGUCGUAAACUCCUGUCAUUCGGGAACAAUAAACUGGUCAUUAAUACUGGCUGGAAUUGAUAGUACCGGAAGAGGAAGCCACGGCUAACUCUGUGCCAGCAGCCGCGGUAAUACAGAGGUGGCGAGCGUUGUUCGGAUUUACUGGGCGUAAAGGGUGCGUAGGUGGCUUUGUGUGUCGGGCGUGAAAGCCCACUGCUCAACGGUGGAAUGCCGUCCGAAACUACAAAGCUUGAGUGCAGGAGAGGAGAGCGGAAUACUUGGUGUAGCGGUGGAAUGCGUUGAGAUCAAGUAGAACACCGGUGGCGUAGGCGGCUCUCUGGAAUGCAACUGACACUGAGGCACGAAAGUUGGGGGAGCAAACAGG